CGUAAGACAAUGAGGAGGAUGAGACAACCAGUUCGGCGCAAGGGAGUCGUCGUGGCAUGCCUUCGCGAUCCAAUCUGCUGCCCGGUUCAUUUCUCGCGGAUUGAAGCCCACGGACACUGCAGGAAGUACUUUAGUUGGUCUCCCCUGUUCGUUGAACUGAAGGGCACUCGUGCGCAUCUUCUCCACGAAGUGCAGCCCUUCCUUUAGAGCUAGGGUUUCUGCUACCAGGGCAGAUUGAGUGAGGAUUUUCUUGGCGAAUCCACCCACAAGACACCAGUGAUGGUCUCUGCAAAUCCAAGCAACCGCACCCUGUUUUGAGGCGCAACUCCAAGACCCAUCCACGUUCAAUUUCAGCUCGCCUUUUGUUGGUGGGACAUAAUAGGAGGAGAUGUUCGAGAGUUUCUGGGGCUUCGUGGCAAAUGGGACAAAGUGGAUCAGGUAACAUUUUCCUCCUGUAGAGAUUUUCUCUUGUCGGCAACGCAUUAUUACAGACGCUCCAUAGGAAAAAUUUCACUUUUGGGUAGUGUGGGGUUUGCCAAAUUGUUGUCCAUAGACCUCGGGGUGGCUGAUAUGACGAUGAUGGUUGGUUUUCUUUCAGCUGUUUUUUCUGGGAGCAUAUUUUGUUGUAGCCACUUUUGACCGAAU